UGUUUCGGCUAGGGGGCCAUCCCGGCUUACCAACCCGAUGCAAACUACGAAUACCGAAGAAUGUUAUCACGGGAGACACACGGCGGGUGCUAACGUCCGUCGUGAAGAGGGAAACAACCCAGACCGCCAGCUAAGGUCCCAAAGUCAUGGUUAAGUGGGAAACGAUGUGGGAAGGCCCAGACAGCCAGGAUGUUGGCUUAGAAGCAGCCAUCAUUUAAAGAAAGCGUAAUAGCUCACUGGUCGAGUCGGCCUGCGCGGAAGAUGUAACGGGGCUAAACCAUGCACCGAAGCUGCGGCAGCGACGCUUAUGCGUUGUUGGGUAGGGGAGCGUUCUGUAAGCCGUUGAAGGUGGCCUGUGAGGGUUGCUGGAGGUAUCAGAAGUGCGAA
rnacentral:rRNA from 1 species